rnacentral:lncRNA from 11 species
CAAAGAAUAAGGUAUCAUUAACUCUUCCAGAGCUUGCUCAAAAUACUGGUGACCGUCCGCUUCUGCUAAAGCCUUGCCUUCAGCAGUAGCUGAGCUAGGCCAAACUGCUAGCCAUGACACCUAUGUACCUAGAGCCAUUACAGAUGAAUUCAGAAAUAAGUAUUAUCCUUGUGGACAUUGGAGAAGUCUCACCAAAUCUGAAAUGAAGAUUGC